rnacentral:rRNA from 1 species
UACGGAGGGUGCAAACGUUGCUCGGAAUCAUUGGGCGUAAAGCGCGUGUAGGCGGCAGGGCAUGUCGGAUGUGAAAUCCCGUGGCUCAACCACGGAAGUGCACCCGAAACUGCCCAGCUUGAGUCUCGGAGAGGAAGGCGGAAUGCUUGGUGUAGAGGUGAAAUUCGUAGAUAUCAAGCGGAACACCGGUGGCGAAGGCGGCCUUCUGGACGAUGACUGACGCUGAGACGCGAAAGCGUGGGGAGCAAACAGG